rnacentral:sRNA from 1 species
AGAUGAGGGAGCAGAGGCCAAGGACCCGUGGGCCUCCCUCCAGACCUGGAAGAUCACAGGCCCAGCCGGGAGGGGAAGGAGAGUCCGUGAUGGCUUCAGACCCCACUGGUGGCAGCAUUCUCAUCUCCUGAUCUGUGCUUGAUGGGGAAGGGGUUGGGGGAACCGGGGAGCUGUGGGCCCUUAAAGCCUCAGCACUCGUGGUUCUCUUGGCCCUCGGCCUAUUUAUUUCAUUCCACAAUCUGGAUUUUCCUCAUAGAAAGAAUCUGUCCGCUCCGCUGCCUGAGUUUUCCUGUCCCCAGUGGCCCCCUCCCUGUCUUUCCAGGACGGUGGCCGCAGAGGUGCGGAAGCAGGUGUCCCGGGAACGCAGUGGCUCCCCCCACUCCAGCAGGCGCUGCAGCAGCUCCCUGGGGGUCCCACUGACUGAAGUUGUCGAGCCCCUGGACUUUGAGGAUGUACUUCUGAGCCGGCCACCAGAUGCUGAGCCCGG